CCUACGAGUGGCAGCAGUGAGGAAUAUUGGUCAAUGGGCGCGAGCCUGAACCAGCCAAGUAGCGUGAAGGAUGACUGCCCUACGGGUUGUAAACUUCUUCUAUAAAGGAAUCAAGUGUGGCUCUUGUGCCUUUUUGUAUUUACUUUAUGUAUAAAGAUCGCUUAACUCCGUCCCAGCAGCCGCGGUAAUAUGGAAGAUCCGAGCGUUAUCCUGAUUUAUUGGGUUUAAAGGGAGCGUAGGUGGGUUGUUAAGUCAGUUGUGAAAGUUUGCGGCUCAACCUGAAAAUUGCAAUUGAUACUGGCAGUCUAGAGUACAGUUGAGGUAGGCAGAAUUCGUGGUGUAGCGGUGAAAUGCUUAGAGAUCACGAAGAACUCCGAUGGCGAAGGCAGCUUACUAAACUGCCACUGACAUUGAUGCUCGAAAGUGUGGGUAGCAAACAGGAUUAGAUACCCCAGUAGUC
rnacentral:rRNA from 1 species